rnacentral:rRNA from 1 species
UAGGGAAUCUUCGGCAAUGGACGAAAGUCUGACCGAGCAACGCCGCGUGAGUGAAGAAGGUUUUCGGAUCGUAAAACUCUGUUGUUAGAGAAGAACAAGGACGUUAGUAACUGAACGUCCCCUGACGGUAUCUAACCAGAAAGCCACGGCUAACUACGUGCCAGCAGCCGCGGUAAUACGUAGGUGGCAAGCGUUGUCCGGAUUUAUUGGGCGUAAAGCGAGCGCAGGCGGUUUCUUAAGUAUGAUGUGAAAGCCCCCGGCUCAACCGGGGAGGGUCAUUGGAAGCUGGGAGACAUGAGUGCAGAAGAGGAGAGUGGAAUUCCAUGUGUAGCGGUGAAAUGCGUAGAUAUAUGGAGGAACACCAGUGGCGAAGGCGGCUCUCUGGUCUGUAACUGACGCUGAGGCUCGAAAGCGUGGGGAGCAAACAGG